rnacentral:tRNA from 1 species
UGGCUGAAUGGUUAAAGCGCCCAACUCAUAAUUGGUAAAAUUGCGGGUUCAAUUCCUGC